rnacentral:rRNA from 1 species
UGCGCAGGCGGGCCAUUAAGUCAGGGGUGAAGGUCUGCGGCUCAACCGUAGAAUUGCCUUUGAUACUGGUGGUCUUGAGUUAUGGUGAAGUGGCUGGAAUAUGUAGUGUAGCGGUGAAAUGCAUAGAUAUUACAUAGAACACCGAUUGCGAAGGCAGGUCACUAACCAUAUACUGACGCUGAUGGACGAAAGCGUGGGGAGCGAACAGGAUUAGAUACCCUGGUAGUCC